GAAUGGACUCCAGCAGCAUCACAGAAUCAAAGCAACACCUAAGGAAUUCACUGUUUCUUCACAUACUUUGAACUGUGAAAACAAGAGUCAUCAUAAUAGCUGCAGUUUACUCAGUACCUACCAGGUGCCAGCCACUGUGCCACCACUUCACCUAUACUGUCUCUAAAGCCCCUACAACCCUGAGCUAAGGAUGAUCAUAUCCCCAACUGCAGAUGAUGACACUGAGGCUCAAAGGCUACUCAACUUGCCUGGAAUCCUACAGCAAAAUACUGCAUUGUGUCACAAGAAUUCAACUAUGUACUCAUGGAAAAGGAGGGAGAAAGCAAGGAAGGAAAAAAGAGAAAAGUAAUUUACAUAGUAACAGCAAUUCUGCUCAACAUUCCAUUCAGUGAGCCGAUAUACCCUGGAGUGCAGAAACUGUUAUGAAUGUACUCCGCCAAGGCAAGAAAGGAAGAAGACAUGGAAUUUAAAAAACAGAGGAUCUACUAUGAAAGAGAAAGGUGAAGGGAAUUCCAGGCUGAUGGUAAAUGCAAAUUCCAGGAUGAGAGUUGGGCAGCAGGCCUAGAGUGCACUCCAUCCUGGGAGGAGCCAGAUGAUAGAGGGCUCUAGGAGAGAAGGCUCCAAGGGAAAAUGAAACAAGAUCUCCCUCUGCCACUCAGGCUGAAGUGCAGUGGUGUGUUCAUAGCUCACGACAGCUUCAACCUCCUGGGCUCAAGCAAUCCUCCUGCCUCAGCCUCCCAAGUUGCUGGGACUACAGGAGGAGGAGAAGAAACAGGCUUACGCUGAGCGAAUCCAAUGUGCAGACAGACACACAGGGAAGGUGACCAUUUGAAGACAGAGGCAGAAACUGCAGUUGUGCAACUGCAAACCAAGAAAUGCCAUGGAUUGCCAACAACCACCAGAAACUAGAAGAGGCAAGGUAAGGUUCAGCAAAGUCUAUGUCAUUCUCUAAUCCUUUUGAUCCAGCGGAUUCUUUGGAGGAAUUUGAAUACAUAUUGGAUUUUGCAUCCAGGUUUGCAAGAGGAAAAUACAAAGGUGACUUCUGGGCCUGCUGGAGGUGGAGGGUAGGGGAUGGACAGCUGACAUCUAGUCACAGAGGAAAGAACACAGAAAGAGAUCUCCAGUUAAAGCUGAUAGAUUGAACCACACACAACCCACCUCCUUCUAAAAUCCCUCUAGAACAAUGGUUUAAAAAAAGUACUUUAACAUAAAGCUUCAAAAUCAAAAAGAUAAGGAAAAUGAUGAAAACCACUCAGAUAAGAAGAGAGGAUAUUUAUGCAGAGGCUGCCGUCGUUGGGAGUCCGCCACCAUACCACCAUACUUUGGUGAGACUUGAAGGCAGGCAGGGAGUGGAAACACUUUAUGCUGUAGUGAACAAAGGGGAAGGCUUCGGUAUGCUCUGACUGGAGAUCAUUGUCAUGGGGAAACUGCAGGUGGGCUAACUAGAGGCUGGGCUUCUUGUGUAAUGGUUUGGCUUUCUCUGGUUGGUCCUGUGUUGAAAAUAGGGGCAAAAUAUAGGGAAGCUGACUCAUUGACCAAGCCCUGCCCAGGCUGGCUGAUUGCAGAGGUUGUGGGUCAGAGUUCUAUUGUCAUAUAUGGUCUGGCUACUGUCUGUUUAUAUAAUCCGUCUCUCAGAGAACAGUAGAGGAGAUCAAAUUAUUAACAUUUUGGAAGCUGGAAAGCAGGAGGAUAGUGUGAGCUGAAUUAGCAGACUUGCCAUCUAUCAAAGGGGAUAGCCAAAAGCAAGCCAGAUUUGCCCCAGAGAACCACCAAAGGUUCAAGAAUUGGCAGCACCAGGUGCCCCCAGAAGCAGGGAUAAAGUGGGGGCUGAAAUUGGACAGUUGGUUCAAAGUCUAUUUCAGAAGCAUUAGACCACUGGAUUUCUUCCCCAGCUCCCAAAUGACUGCCUGGUACAAAAGACUCAGGACUGAUUCCCUGGAGAGAGUAGGUAGUUCUUUGUCUAGUUAAGGAUAGGAUGCCAUAACAAACAUGCCAAUUCAGUGAAAGUACCUACUUUCAAGACUCCUGCUUAACUCCCCUAAAUCAGCAGCCAAUGUUAGAAGCCAAGUGUUAAAGUUUUUCAGAUAAUUUUGCUAUAAGCCUAUGGGGAAAUUUCAUUACCAUCUCAUAGCAAGGCCUAUAGUAUAAGAGCAGGCCUAUAGUAGCAUAUGGGGGAAAGUCUAAAAGACUUUGAAAUGGACCAAAAGAUUAUUGAGAAAUGGAAAACUGCAUUGUUUUAAGUAUCCCUUUCCAACUUAUCAGAUUCUGUGGGGUUUAUACCUUUCAUUGUCCUUGAGGUAUUUAACAAUUCUAAAGAGAUAGACUCUAACUUGUAGAAAACUAAGAGUAACAUAAAUAAUUAUCGUCUUUAGAUAUACAAAUAAAUUCUGUUCUGAGAA